rnacentral:rRNA from 1 species
GCAGCAGUGGGGAAUUUUCCGCAAUGGGCGAAAGCCUGACGGAGCAAUACCGCGUGAGGGAAGAAGGUCCUUGGAUCGUAAACCUCUUUUCUCAGGGAAGAAGUUCUGACGGUACCUGAGGAAUAAGCCUCGGCUAACUCCGUGCCAGCAGCCGCGGUAAUACGGAGGAGGCAAGCGUUAUCCGGAAUUAUUGGGCGUAAAGCGUUCGCAGGUGGCUGUUCAAGUCUGCUGUCAAAGACCGGAGCUUAACUCCGGAAAGGCGGUGGAAACUGAAGAGCUAGAGUGCGGUAGGGGUAGAGGGAAUUCCCAGUGUAGCGGUGAAAUGCGUAGAGAUUGGGAAGAACACCGGUGGCGAAAGCGCUCUACUAGGCCGCAACUGACACUCAGGGACGAAAGCUAGGGGAGCGAAUGGGAUUAGAUACCCCAGUAGUCCUAGCUGUAAACGAUGGGUACUAGGCGUAGCUUGUAUCGACCCGAGCUGUGCCGAAGCUAACGCGUUAAGUACCCCGCCUGGGGAGUACGCACGCAAGUGUGAAACUCAAAGGAAUUGACGGGGGCCCGCAUAAGCGGUGGAGUAUGUGGUUUAAUUCGAUGCAACGCGAAGAACCUUACCAGGGCUUGACAUCCGGCGAAUUCUCUGGAAACAGAGAAGUGCCUACGGGAGCGCCGUGACAGGUGGUGCAUGGCUGUCGUCAGCUCGUGUCGUGAGAUGUUGGGUUAAGUCCCGCAACGAGCGCAACCCUCGUCCUUAGUUGCCAGCAUUAAGUUGGGCACUUUAGGGAGACUGCCGGUGACAAGCCGGAGGAAGGUGGGGAUGACGUCAAGUCAGCAUGCCCCUUACGUCCUGGGCAACACACGUACUACAAUGGUCGAGACAAAGGGCAGCCAACUCGCAAGAGUGAGCGAAUCUCAGCAAACUCGGCCUCAGUUCAGAUCGCAGGCUGCAACUCGCCUGCGUGAAGGAGGAAUCGCUAAUAAUCGCCGGUCAGCAUACGGCGGUGAAUUCGUUCCCGGGCCUUGUACACACCGCCCGUCACACCAUGGAAGCUGGCAACAUCCGAAGUCGUUACUCCAACUCUUAGGAGAGGAGGGCGCCGAAGGUGGGGCUAGUGACUGG